rnacentral:rRNA from 1 species
AGGCUGCAGUAGGGAAUCUUCGGCAAUGGACGAAAGUCUGACCGAGCAACGCCGCGUGAGUGAAGAAGGUUUUCGGAUCGUAAAACUCUGUUGUUAGAGAAGAACAAGGGUGAGAGUAACUGUUCACCCCUUGACGGUAUCUAACCAGAAAGCCACGGCUAACUACGUGCCAGCAGCCGCGGUAAUACGUAGGUGGCAAGCGUUGUCCGGAUUUAUUGGGCGUAAAGCGAGCGCAGGCGGUUUCUUAAGUCUGAUGUGAAAGCCCCCGGCUCAACCGGGGAGGGUCAUUGGAAACUGGGAGACUUGAGUGCAGAAGAGGAGAGUGGAAUUCCAUGUGUAGCGGUGAAAUGCGUAGAUAUAUGGAGGAACACCAGUGGCGAAGGCGGCUCUCUGGUCUGUAACUGACGCUGAGGCUCGAAAGCGUGGGGAGCAAACAGGAUUAGAUACCCUGGUAGUCCACGCCGUAAACGAUGAGUGCUAAGUGUUGGAGGGUUUCCGCCCUUCAGUGCUGCAGCUAACGCAUAAGCACUCCGCCUGGAUCCCCCCAAGG